GUGCCAGCCGCCGCGGUAAUACAGAGGUCUCAAGCGUUGUUCGGAUUCAUUGGGCGUAAAGGGUGCGUAGGCGGCGCCGUAAGUCAGGUGUGAAAUCCCGGGGCUCAACCCCGGAACGGCACUUGAUACUGCGGUGCUCGAGGACUGGAGAGGAGACUGGAAUUCCCGGUGUAGCAGUGAAAUGCGUAGAUAUCGGGAGGAAGGCCAGUGGCGAAGGCGGGUCUCUGGACAGUUCCUGACGCUGAGGCACGAAGGCCAGGGGAGCAAACGGGAUUAGAUACCCCCGUAGUCC
rnacentral:rRNA from 1 species